GUGGGGAAUCUUAGACAAUGGGCGCAAGCCUGAUCUAGCCAUGCCGCGUGAGCGAUGAAGGCCUUAGGGUUGUAAAGCUCUUUCAGCUGGGAAGAUAAUGACGGUACCAGCAGAAGAAGCCCCGGCUAACUCCGUGCCAGCAGCCGCGGUAAUACGGAGGGGGCUAGCGUUGUUCGGAAUUACUGGGCGUAAAGCGCACGUAGGCGGAUCAGAAAGUCAGAGGUGAAAUCCCAGGGCUCAACCUUGGAACUGCCUUUGAAACUCCUGAUCUUGAGGUCGAGAGAGGUGAGUGGAAUUCCGAGUGUAGAGGUGAAAUUCGUAGAUAUUCGGAGGAACACCAGUGGCGAAGGCGGCUCACUGGCUCGAUACUGACGCUGAGGUGCAUAAGCGUGGGGAGCAAACAGGAUUAGAUACCCGGGUAGUCC
rnacentral:rRNA from 1 species